rnacentral:pre_miRNA from 12 species
UCUUGACGCUUGUUGAUGGGCGUCGAGCCGUGAGUAUUACAUCAGGUACUGGUGAGACAUUAGAACAACCCAGUACUUGUGUUAUACUUUCGAUUCGGCUGCUCUUGCUCAUCCACCUAGAU